rnacentral:rRNA from 1 species
GACGAACGCUGGCGGCGUGCCUAAUACAUGCAAGUCGAACGCAGUGGGGACGGGUGAGUAACAAGUGGGUAACCUCCCAUCAGAGGGGAUAACACUUGGAAACAGGUGCUAAACCGAUAUUGAAUGAUGGACCUGCGGUGCAUUAGCUAGUUGGUGGGGGAACGGCUCACCAAGGCCACGAUGCAUAGCCGACCUGGGAGGGUGAUCGGCCACACUGGAACUGAGACACGGCCCAGACUCCUACGGGAGGCAGCAGUAGGGAAUAUUCGGCAAUGGACGAAAGCCUGACCGAGCAACGCCGCGUGAAUGAAGAAGGUUUUCGGAUCGUAAAACUCUGUUGUUAGAGAAGCGGUAUCUAACCAGAAAGCCACGGCUAACUACGUGCCAGCAGCCGCGGUAAUAC